rnacentral:rRNA from 1 species
AUACUCCUGACUGACCGAUAGUGAACCAGUACCGUGAGGGAAAGGCGAAAAGAACCCCUGUGAGGGGAGUGAAAUAGAACCUGAAACCGUGUACGUACAAGCAGUAGGAGCACCUUCGUGGUGUGACUGCGUACCUUUUGUAUAAUGGGUCAGCGACUUAUAUUCAGUGGCAAGGUUAACCAUCUAGGGGAGCCGUAGGGAAACCGAGUCUUAACUGGGCGCCAUAGUCUCUGGAUAUAGACCCGAAACCGAGUGAUCUAGCCAUGGGCAGGUUGAAGGUUGAGUAACAUCAACUGGAGGACCGAACCGACUAAUGUUGAAAAAUUAGCGGAUGACUUGUGGCUAGGGGUGAAAGGCCAAUCAAACUCGGAGAUAGCUGGUUCUCCCCGAAAGCUAUUUAGGUAGCGCCUCGGACGAAUACUACUGGGGGUAGAGCACUGUUAAGGCUAGGGGGUCAUCCCGACUUACCAACCCUUUGCAAACUCCGAAUACCAGUAAGUACUAUCCGGGAGACACACGGCGGGUGCUAACGUCCGUCGUGGAGAGGGAAACAACCCAGACCGCCAGCUAAGGUCCCAAAUUACAGCUAAGUGGGAAACGAUGUGGGAAGGCUUAGACAGCUAGGAUGUUGGCUUAGAAGCAGCCAUCAUUUAAAGAAAGCGUAAUAGCUCACUAGUCGAGUCGGCCUGCGCGGAAGAUGUAACGGGGCUAAGUU